rnacentral:ncRNA from 2 species
CGUAGAUUGGCUGCCGACGGUUCUCCUUUCGGAGAUCAAAAGGGAAUGUGGUGCGAGGUCUUCCCAACGCCGGGAUCUUCUCAACGCCACGGCUGCCCCCGCAACUGUAAGCGGUGAAUCUCUCGUCCUAUGCCACUGGGAAUCUCGGUCCUGGGAAGGCGAUGCAGAGGUGACGACCCGCGAGCCAGGAGACCUGCCGUCAGCCGUGGUCACAC